rnacentral:rRNA from 1 species
GACGAACGCUGGCGGCGUGCUUAACACAUGCAAGUCGAACGGAAAGGCCCUGCUUUUGUGGGGUGCUCGAGUGGCGAACGGGUGAGUAACACGUGAGUAACCUGCCCUUGACUUUGGGAUAACUUCAGGAAACUGGGGCUAAUACCGGAUAGGAGCUCCUGCUGCAUGGUGGGGGUUGGAAAGUUUCGGCGGUUGGGGAUGGACUCGCGGCUUAUCAGCUUGUUGGUGGGGUAGUGGCUUACCAAGGGGUUGGCGGGUAGCCCGCCUGAGAGGGUGACCGGCCACAUUGGGACUGAGAUACGGCCCAGACUCCUACGGGAGGCAGCAGUGGGGAAUAUUGCACAAUGGGCGGAAGCCUGAUGCAGCAACGCCGCGUGCGGGAUGACGGCCUUCGGGUUGUAAACCGCUUUCGCCUGUGACGAAGCGUGAGUGACGGUAAUGGGUAAAGAAGCACCGGCUAACUACGUG